AGAGUGGAGAGAGUAGAACCACAAGAAGAAAGAAAACAGAGGAGGCA
rnacentral:sRNA from 1 species